rnacentral:rRNA from 1 species
GAUGAACGCUGGCGGCGUGCCUAAUACAUGCGAGUCGAGCGAACAGACGAGGAGCUUGCUCCUCUGACGUUAGCGGCGGACGGGUGAGUAACACGUGGAUAACCUACCUAUAAGACUGGGAUAACUUCGGGAAACCGGAGCUAAUACCGGAUAAUAUAUUGAACCGCAUGGUUCAAUAGUGAAAGACGGUUUUGCUGUCACUUAUAGAUGGAUCCGCGCCGCAUUAGCUAGUUGGUAAGGUAACGGCUUACCAAGGCGACGAUGCGUAGCCGACCUGAGAGGGUGAUCGGCCACACUGGAACUGAGACACGGUCCAGACUCCUACGGGAGGCAGCAGUAGGGAAUCUUCCGCAAUGGGCGAAAGCCUGACGGAGCAACGCCGCGUGAGUGAUGAAGGUCUUCGGAUCGUAAAACUCUGUUAUUAGGGAAGAACAAAUGUGUAAGUAACUAUGCACGUCUGGACGGUACCUAAUCAGAAAGCCACGGCUAACUACGU